AUUGAACGCUGGCGGCAUGCCUUACACAUGCAAGUCGAACGGUAACAGGUCUUCGGAUGCUGACGAGUGGCGAACGGGUGAGUAAUACAUCGGAACGUGCCCAGACGUGGGGGAUAACGAGGCGAAAGCUUUGCUAAUACCGCAUACGAUCUAAGGAUGAAAGCAGGGGACCGCAAGGCCUUGCGCGUUUGGAGCGGCCGAUGGCAGAUUAGGUAGUUGGUGGGAUAAAAGCUUACCAAGCCGACGUUCUGUAGCUGGUCUGAGAGGACGACCAGCCACACUGGGACUGAGACACGGCCCAGACUCCUACGGGAGGCAGCAGUGGGGAAUUUUGGACAAUGGGCGAAAGCCUGAUCCAGCAAUGCCGCGUGCAGGAUGAAGGCCUUCGGGUUGUAAACUGCUUUUGUACGGAACGAAAAGGCUCUGGCUAAUACCUGGGGCACAUGACGGUACCGUAAGAAUAAGCACCGGCUAACUACGUG
rnacentral:rRNA from 1 species